ensembl:lncRNA
CUCUCUCUUCACUCACACGCUGUCGGGUACAGUAUACACACACGUCACAUGGUAUGCUCCAUAGGGUAUGUUCGAGUUGUGGACACGUGCGCUCACACUUGCAUGUGACAGGGCAAAUGGCCAAUGAAACGUGGUCAUUAUAAAGCGGUUUCAAUUGGGCCCUAAAUUGAACUAAGCCACACAGCCAACGGACGCACCUCUCCACAAAAUAAACUGAAUAAUGUGUACUUUCUGCUGCAUUGUCGAUUCUGAUCCUGCUCUACAUGCUAUUGUAAUAACGGUAUUGAGUCAAUAUAUCGUGCACACCUACUUCAUAGUGUGUACAGUAGGAAGUGGUCUUUACCUCAUAGUGGGUACAGUAGGAGGUGGUCUUUACCUCAUAGUGUGUACAGUAGGAGGUGAUCAUGACCUCAUAGUGUGUACAGUAGGAGGUGAUCAUGACCUCAUAGUGUGUACAGUAGGAGGUGAUAAUGACCUCGUAGUGUGUACAGUAGGAGGUGAUCAUGACCUCGUAGUGUGUACUGUAGGCCAGAGGAAGGAGAAGGAGGUGUUGGUCAAUGGGUCAGUCAGGUGGUUGUUUGAAGGGCUGAGUGGGAUCAGUUCCAUGAGAGGAGUGAGUAGGUGAUGAGUGUGGUGGAUCAGUAGAAUGACUGGGUGAGAGCAGCGUUAGUGGGAGCAGCUACUGAGGCUAGACCUGAGAGUUCAGGGAGCAAGAGGAGGAAGGAGGUUCCAUGGUGGACGGAGGAGUGAGGAGGAGCAGUGAAGAGUAGGAGUCAGACUCCUCAGUGCUGCUCCAUAUUCAGGGUAUUAAAAGGACUCAUCAUUUCCAACAUGAUCCAGUAUAAAGAGGCUCAGGCUGUGGUGAGGAGAUACACGUCCAGUUAACAGGGUGUGUCCACGCCGGUUCUGUGAUACCGUGAACAAUGACACCUAUGGGAGAAGUCUGGGGGAUGAUUUAGAGGAUGAGCAGAGUCAGAAUGCAGUGGGAUCAUCCGGCAUAAACGAUUAGAGGUCAGUUACAGAUGAGGAGAAGGCUGAGAUGUAAUCUGUUCAGGGUCAUAGUUCAGUCAACCUGUCAGAGGAGGAGCAGAGUUGGGGAGAAGACCUAGAGGAGAGCAGCUUGGAGUACUGGACAGGAGGGAGGAGGUGAAUGAUUCACUGAAUGAUCCGUUUACCAUGACGGAGGGGGUCAUAGGUCAGGCUGGGAGAGAUGAGGUGUGUUAUGUCAUGUUGGUCCGUCUCAGUGAUGAGGUUCUGGACAAGGUACUGGACCUGUUCAACAGAGUGAGAGGAGGGGAAACUACCAGGCAUCUGGGAGGAGGUGGUAGUGGUACCAACCAGGAAGACGGGGCAGAACCCAACCAGACCAACUAGUCAAGGGCGUAGGAGUGACUCUGAUAUGGGGGGGACACAUUUGACUACAGUGCGAAUGUUAAUAUAUUCACCAAAAUGUCUAUUUAAUAUGUUAGUUCUACAUGUUUUUCCACUUCUAGAAUCCACUUCUAGUUCGAUUCUCUUUGUCCAUGACUACGUUAAAUAUAGACAUGCUCUGGUUAAAAGAUACUGGGGAUGAUAAUUGUUUCAACAACAAUGGCUUGCAAUACUCAUUAUGUCUGGAUGAGUGUAUCAAGUAGAUAGUUACCCCAAAUAAUGUCGUCUUUCUGAACCGAGACCUUCCAGGUGUUGAAAGGACUCAAGCAUUCAGUAUGGAAAUUCCAGUUUGACUUUAAGAAAGUAGUGAUUUCUGAACAUGCCAUAGUCCUAACUAGCACUGGUAAAUGAUACUGUCAUUUCAGAUAGAUGAUAAUGUAACCAGAGUGCAUCUUGUUAAAUAAAUAAUACUACAGUGAUGUUGGUAACAUCUCAGUCAGGCGUGUUAGUCCAGCUUUAAGUAUUCCAA